UGUACACACCGCCCGUCACACCAUGGGAGUUUGUUGCACCAGAAGUAGCUAGCCUAACUGCAAAGAGGGCGGUUACCACGGUGUGGCCGAUGACUGGGGUGAAGUCGUAACAAGGUAGCCGUAGGGGAACCUGCGGCUGGAUCACCUCCUUAA
rnacentral:rRNA from 1 species